rnacentral:rRNA from 1 species
GAUGAACGCUAGCUACAGGCUUAACACAUGCAAGUCGAGGGGCAGCAUGGUCUUAGCUUGCUAAGGCCGAUGGCGACCGGCGCACGGGUGAGUAACACGUAUCCAACCUGCCGUCUACUCUUGGACAGCCUUCUGAAAGGAAGAUUAAUACAAGAUGGCAUCAUGAGUCCGCACGUUCACAUGAUUAAAGGUAUUCCGGUAGACGAUGGGGAUGCGUUCCAUUAGAUAGUAGGCGGGGUAACGGCCCACCUAGUCUUCGAUGGAUAGGGGUUAUGAGAGGAAGGUCCCCCACAUUGGACCUGCGACACGGUCCACACUGCUACGGGAGGCAGCAGUAAGGUAUAUUGAUCAAUGGGCGCAGGCCUGAACCAGCCAAGUAGCGUGAAGGAUGACUGCCCUAUGGGUUGUAAACUUCUUUUAUAAAGGAAUAAAGUCGGGUAUGUAUACCCGUUUGCAUGUACUUUAUGAAUAAGGAUCGGCUAACUCCGUG